GGAUGGCAGUAGUACCCACAGGCUUGGUAUUAUCUGCCUGGUGGACCUCGUGUGUGUGUGCCUGGGCCACCAGCCAAACCCUCUCUUUUUUUCAGGGAGAAGAGUGGAAGAGAGAAUAACAUAGAGAUCAUGUCAAGCAAGAUCAUAGGAUUGGGUCAGGCCAAAUAGUGAAGAUUAUUUUUGGUUAAAAUUGGAGUUUGAUCUCAUCAAGCUUCCAAACUGAGCAUUUGGGAUGCUGGCCAGCCUUGCUGUUAUCUGUUCUGAGGAUCCCACUGGUGUGGUAAUUGUAGUUUUACCAUUUACAAAGAAAGAUGCUUCUCUGAUUCAGAAGAGAGGACUCUUUGCCAAAGAAAUAGGGUGAAAAUGUAAAUAAGAACCAGAGAUAUGGUGAAAGUGACCUUGCCCUCCAGUCUGUACAUGCUCAUGUUUGCUGUUAUUGUCUCUGGGAGUAUGAUGUAGACAAGUUCUGGUUCCUGCCUAGUGUGGAGGAGCUUGGACAUCAGCACUCUGUCCUGACAAGAAAUGAAGAGCUGAGAAAAUUGAAAAGCCAAGGACUCUCCUUAGAUUCACCAGUAAAUUGAGGUCAUGGGGCAAACCAUUGCCCCCAAAGUUAGACAGGCUAGCACAGGAAAUCUCAACCUACUGAAGCAGAAAUGCAAGAACAGAAACCUCUAUGCUUGGUGAAUUUUACCUCUAGGAGCGUUACCAGGCUCUCAAAGAGAAAAACUCCCUUGUGCUUCCAGCAGGAGAAGGGGAAAGGAACCACUCUGUAAUUGUUCACAAAGUCUUCUUUCUGGAGAAAUUAUUCAGCCAGAGCCCAACUUGCUGGGAUUUCAUCAGGGCCUAGCUGACCUGGGAGAAGGGAAAUGCUUCAGUGAAAUUAAUCUAAAAAUAAUUAACAGGAGGACACCGGGGAAAUCUCAAAGUAUAUGAGGAUCAAACAGUACACUUUUAAAUUACACGUGUUAAAAAGAAAUUUUAUGACACCUUUUGAAAUGUCUUGAAGUAAAUAAAAAUACAACUCAUCAAAGUUUGUGGAAUGUAGUGAAAGCAAUGCUUGGAAGAAAAUUUACAGCACUGG
rnacentral:lncRNA from 1 species